rnacentral:lncRNA from 1 species
UUCAUGAUACACCCUUCACCAAGGGCUGUAGUAAUUUGGUCACUACUUCUAUCAAUGAAGACACAAAAUGAUUAUCCAUAAUCAAUUUAAUCAUGUCUUUUCUUUUUCUUAAAAAGAUAUUUCAUGAUCAGAGUUUCAUCUCUCACCAUCUUAGGACAACCUUCCAACAUAACCUAUGUUAUGCUAGGACAAUCUUAUGUCAGAAUAUGAUUUGAUUAACCCAAUUGCUUAUCAAUUAGAUCUCUAAUCUAAAAUCUCAGAUCCAAUUUAAAUUUUAAAUGUAUAGUUAGGGCUUUAUCUUAUAACAUCCUAGACAACCUUCCAACACAAUCUAAGUUAUGCCAGGACAACUUUAUAUCACGAUGUGAUUCGACUAAUCCAAGUGCUUAUCAAUUAUAAUUUUUGAUUUUUUAUUAAAAUUUUUAAUCUAAUGUUUUAGAUCUCAUCUAAAUUUUAGAUUAAAAAAAAUAUAAAAAAUCAAAUUCAAAUAAAAUAAUAAAUUAGAUCUAAUCUAACAAUCAUGCUUAUUUGAAAACAUAAAAUUCAGAUCACAUUUAAACUUCAUGUACAAUUGAUAAACAUGAAUUUUCAGAUCCAAUCUGAAACAA